GCGGCCAUGGCUGGGAGCGUACGUGUGUAUCCUCGUGUGCGGGGUGAACACACGUGUCCGGGCGUGUUUACACAUGCACAUAGCUGCCAACAUGUGUAGGAGUACAGGUGAGUGGUACAUGUGUGUCCUCAUAUGCAGGGUGAACACACGUACCCAGGUGUGUUUACAUGAGCACACAAGUGCCAACAUGCAUGUGAGCACAGGCCCGAAUUCCCUGUUGGAGCACGGGGCUGAGCCGGGAAUAGCGCGGGAGCGGAGCCAAGUCGUGACGGCGGGUGAGUAAUGAGGUAAAGUCAUCCCUUCCCAUCCCGCUGGCACCGGGAGAAGAACCCCCCUGACAUCACCCGGCGCGGUGGGAGA